GGGUUCCUGGAAGGCGAGAAUGUCCCUGCGUCCUUUUUUCUCGCUUUAUCGAUUACGGCGCGAUAAAGGCGCCGCGAGAUGUCUGCUUCCUCUGUCACGCAGUGACAAAACAAAUUAGGGCCUUCGCCAUGAGUGAAAUUAUGGAGGGCGAAGGACGAGAUAUUGCUAGCGCGCAGCCCCCUGCGACCCUUGAAACUGAGGAAGCCGCGUCCUGACUUGAACGCCACAUCUUUUGGGGAUAAACUUGACGCUGUGGACUUUUAAACCUGAAACCUCUUUGCGGCUAAUGUAACUGUAACGGCGAGGGAAAUUUGCCCUGCGCCAACGGAUCUGUUUGUGAAGUAGUAGCGAAUAUUCGGUGAUCGACAUCUCGAUCAGAGCUUUGUAACGGAUGACAAAGGAGAACAAUGCUUUUACGUAACGUCUGGUAAACGCGAGGGUAGGAUAAGUACGGCUGAUCUACUCCCCAGUUUUUGUAUUUUCACGGAACGCCGAACACAGGAAUCUUUUCGUGUUUAUGAGAGAGUCCGGUUUAUUUAUCUCUUUAUCGGAAACCCUCUUAUUAUAUGUAGAUUCGCCAAAACUCCCCUUGUUUACGUAUUUAUAUUUAUUGUAUUUCGCUCGUAAGAGCACAAGUAUACGAUAUUUUACAAACAGGAUGCGUAAUAUUUGUUUUUGCUAUAGAU